GCGAAAACAGAGAUUGUAUAGGCCAAGCGAAGAAUACUAUCUUGAUCGGAACAUGUGUUUGUAUCACUGCUAACUGUCUCAUUCCCUGACAAGUUACUUGUGUUUGUCUGUGAUAUAGUCUUGUUUGAAUUAGCCCCGUGUCCGCAAUAAGAUGAGAAAUAUUGUUCACCUUCAAGUAUUUCCAAUAAUUGAGCCCAACCGAAUAUAAGAUAUGUACAGAGAACACUUUCAAAUGCACUCCAUACAACCAAGCAAAGAUGGUAGAUGUGCAUUAUUGAAGUAUUCUGAUUUCUGAAGACCGAAU